AUUAAAUUUCUUCAAUAAAGUACAAUUGCUUCAUGGUAUUGUCCAAAUGUUAUGAAUUAGCAUGUAAACAAGAUCAUUCAACGCUGCAUCUAUGAGGUAGAGUUCAGCCAAUUUGUAACUGUGGUACUUAUUCUCAACUUUAAUCUUUACAUAUAUUUCAUAUAUCCCACAAAAAGCAGCCCUGUGCAGUGAGGAGUGGGGCAAAAGAAUAAUUUAUGUCCACAUAUAGCUGUAUUUCCAUAAUGAGAGAGAGAGAGAGAGA
rnacentral:misc_RNA from 1 species